GACGAACGCUGGCGGCGUGCUUAACACAUGCAAGUCGAACGGAAAGGCCCUGCUUUUGUGGGGUGCUCGAGUGGCGAACGGGUGAGUAACACGUGAGUAACCUGCCCUUGACUUUGGGAUAACUUCAGGAAACUGGGGCUAAUACCGGAUAGGAGCUCCUGCUGCAUGGUGGGGGUUGGAAAGUUUCGGCGGUUGGGGAUGGACUCGCGGCUUAUCAGCUUGUUGGUGGGGUAGUGGCUUACCAAGGCUUUGACGGGUAGCCGGCCUGAGAGGGUGACCGGCCACAUUGGGGCUGAGAUACGGCCCAGACUCCUACGGGAGGCAGCAGUGGGGAAUAUUGCACAAUGGGCGGAAGCCUGAUGCAGCAACGCCGCGUGCGGGAUGACGGCCUUCGGGCUGUAAACCGCUUUCGCCUGUGACGAAGCGUGAGUGACGGUAAUGGGUAAAGAAGCACCGGCUAACUACGUG
rnacentral:rRNA from 1 species